rnacentral:tRNA from 3 species
GGCCAGGUAGCUCAGUUGGUAGAGCGCGGCCCUGAAAAGGCCGGCGUCGGCGGUUCGAUCCCGUCCCUGGCCACCA